rnacentral:tRNA from 1 species
UGGCGUAGUGGCCAAUGCACUCGCCUUGCACGCGGGAGACCCGGGUUCGAUUCCCGG